rnacentral:rRNA from 1 species
UACGUAGGGGGCUAGCGUUGUCCGGAAUCAUUGGGCGUAAAGCGCGUGCAGGCGGUCCGGUAAGUCCGCUGUGAAAGUCGGGGGCUCAACCCUCGGAUGCCGGUGGAUACUGUCGGGCUUGAGUACGGAAGAGGCGAGUGGAAUUCCUGGCGUAGCGGUGAAAUGCGCAGAUAUCAGGAGGAACACCAAUUGCGAAGGCAGCUCGCUGGGACGUUACUGACGCUGAGACGCGAAAGCGUGGGGAGCAAACAGG